UGUCCUGCCCAAAUCCCUAACCCUAAGUAAACAUAUUAUACCUUUCCUGAAUCUUUCUCAAUUAGAUAGACCCUAGGCUAGGAAUUUAAUGAAUGAUUCUGGUGACCAGUGACCACUGCCGCACUACGCAUGAGGCUCUGGUCUUCUUGAGUUCUUGUUAUCUCUUGCCGCAUUUCCAGCCAACUCCAACACCUCGGCAGCAAGGUAUUGAAGAAUAGCAGCCAACUCCAACACGCUGGGCAUAACGAUCCUUCUUCAAGAAACGAGCAAUACGACCAACAGGAAACUGAAGACCAGCUUUGAUUGAUUUGGUUACAGACUUCUCCCUUGGGCCACCCUUUCUUCCUCCGGCACCUUUGGUUGUCUUAGUAGCAUCCAUUGCUCUGAAUUUCUGUGUGAAUAAAAAGCUUAAAGAGAAGAAGAAGUCAAGAAGCUUUGAGUAUUUUGAUUGAGAUUUGAAUUUGAUAAAUUCAAGAUUUGGAUUUUGUUUAUCUGUUUGCUUUCUGAAAAGUACUUCCUCUAAAGUGUAUGGCUGUGGCCUGUGGCCUGUGGCCUUAUGUUUUUAAUGGCUCUAUUUCUCUUUCACGUUUCUGGUUUUUUUAAUUCUUUGUUGUUUAUUUCUGAAGAAGUUCCCAUACUUGUGUUUUUAACAUCUCCAUCUACCUAAAUAGAAGUAUGUUACCCUUGACAUGCCCAGUGAAAUAUGAAGAUGAUUAUCCCCUGUGUCCUUUUAAAUAUGAAUAGUUAGUUCAACUUAAUGGAUCUUGUUUUCAUAGGAGAAACAUAGUAUAGCAAUUUAGAAGAUAGAACUUAUUUAAGCUUCUUUAAUUGCUUCCAUAUUGUAUUUUUUGAUUUUGUUUUACACUUCCAAUUUAUAUCUUAUAACAUUUGUAAUCUCUUCUAUGUUUAGAUGAAAGAUGAAACAAGUCGAACAAGUCUUACUGAGUCUCUUGAUACCGGAAGUUGAACAACAUUCAGUGACUGUGAAGAGGAAAGCUAUAGAAUCAAGAUCUGCUGCUUGACCGCAUUAUGAUAAGCUCAUAGAAGAUAGAAUUAAUAAAGCAAAGUGCAAGCAUUGUGGUAAAGUUCUCUUAGCUGAUUCAACUAAAAAUGGAACAAGUGGACUGAAUAAACAUUUGAAAAUUUGUCCUAAAAAUCCAAAUAAGGUUAACACUUUCAAUUCCAAGUACAAACAAUCAAAUUUAAACUUUCCAUUAGAAGGUGAAAUGCGUGAUGGGGCAAUUUGGACUUUUGAUCAAGAGGUAUCUCGGAGGGCUUUAGUUGAGAUGUUAAUCCUUGAUGAGCUUCCUUUUCCUUUUGUUGAAAAGGAAGGUUUUAAUGUUGAAAGAAGGUUUUAAUGAUCUUAUGAAACUUGAACUUGCUAUGGAUGAUAUUGACUGCAUUGUUCAAGCUAAAAAACAGUGAAAGCAGAUUUUGGAUCAGUUAUGGAUGUUCUGAAGAGCUAUUUGUUGAGCAAAAAUUCCAAGCUAUGAUGUAUUGAUGUGUUCUGAGUUCAAACUGUUUCUUUUUGUAUUGGUGAUGUGCUUGUAGUAGUGAAAAAUUGGAUGGUACACCAAUAGAAUCAGCAAUAUUAGAAUAUGGAUUGCUUCUUGAUGGUGAUAUUGAUAAGCAAAGAAGGGACUGGAAACUGCUGAAGGUUGAGCCUUUCAAUUCAGAUUAGUGCCUCUGCUGGAAAAUAGCACCUUUCAGUACUGAAGCACCAAGAGAAAAGGGCAAACAGAUACCAAAGAAAUACAUGAUUCUUCAUAAUUGCUUUCUUGAUCGAUGAUUCAAGUUUGUCAUUUCUAGAACUCCUCCAGUUUUUACAUGGGCAAAUGACUUGUACAUUAUAGCCAGGUAAGAACCAUUAGAUUUGCUAUGGGAUUUGUCAUUCUCAGUUACUGGUGAUGGCACAAAUGAUGCUCCUCUCAACGAGGCAGAUAUUGGAUUUGCUAUGGGUAUUGCAGGCACAGAGGUCCAGAACUUGCCUAAGAGAAGGGAAGCGCCAACGUAAUAUGGAAUGGCUCUUGAAAUAUUUCAAAGAUCAGCACCCUGACUCAGUUGUAUUCGAUCCAUUGUUUAGUUUGUUAUUAAAAAUCUCCAGAUCUUUUAUUGUUGCUAUUGUAUAUAUGAUGUACUAACAUAUUCCGUGUGGACUUCGACUUCAAUAUGGUAUUACCGAAUACAGUACCGAAUCGAAUUUUGAUUUACCGAUUACCGAAUUAC